AACGAACGCUGGCGGCAGGCCUAACACAUGCAAGUCGAGCGAGAUGGAUCCUUCGGGAUUCGGAGAGCGGCGGACGGGUGAGUAACGCGGUGGGAACGUGCCCUAAAGGUGGGGGACAACAGUUGGAAACGACUGCUAAUACCGCAUAAGCCAAUUUGGGAAAGCCUUCGGGGCGCCUUGGGAUCGGCCCGCGUUAGAUUAGGUAGUUGGUGGGGUAACGGCCUACCAAGCCUACGAUCUAUAGCUGGUUUGAGAGAAUGAUCAGCCACACUGGGACUGAGACACGGCCCAG
rnacentral:rRNA from 1 species